rnacentral:rRNA from 1 species
AACGAACGCUGGCGGCGUGCCUAACACAUGCAAGUCGUACGAGAAAUCCUGGGCAACCGGGAGAGUAAAGUGGCGCACGGGUGAGUAACGCGUGGGUAACUUAUCCUAGAAUUGGGGAUAACUCUUCGAAAGGGGAGUUAAUACCGAAUAAUAUUACAAUUCCUCCGGGAGUUGGAAUCAAAGGUGGCCUCUGCAUGCAAGCUAUCGUUUAUGGAUGGGCCCGCGUACCAUUAGCUAGUUGGUAGGGUAACAGCCUACCAAGGCAACGAUGGUUAGCUGGUCUGAGAGGAUGGCCAGCCACACUGGAACUGAGACACGGUCCAGACUCCUACGGGUGGCAG